UCUUAUUUACAUAGAUAAACUUAAAUAAUAUAAAUAAUGUCAAAUAUGAAAACUUGCAAACAGCUUAAUGAGUUCUUUCAAUCCAAAGUACUCAAAUUUUGUUGGCAAUAAGGCAUGCAAUGCCCUUUAAAGAACAUUAAUAGCCAGGACCAUACUAAAGAAUCCAAAGUAUUAAGAGACUUGAUAUAUAGACUUCAAAAUUCCAUUUGAAAAAGUUCUUUCCAAAUGGAAUAUCUAAGUAUGUACUGUAAUGUAGGCUGUAUAGAUAUUUGCAAGUUGUAGGGUUAGCAUGCUUUGAGGACAGUAAAAAGAACUUUAACUAAAAAUAUUACUAAACUAAAGCUCUGGGCAAACUAGGAAAC
rnacentral:lncRNA from 1 species